rnacentral:ncRNA from 2 species
CCCCCGCAAGAUCGCGCCGGUGCCCGAAAGGGCUUAAAACGGGAACACGGUGAGAAGGCCCCGCUCGGGCUUUCGACUCCGAGGCUGUCCCUGCAACUGUAAGCGGUGAGCGCGAUGCACCGGUCCGGACUCCUUGUCGGGGCCAGCCACUGGGGCAACCUGGGAAGGCGUGCAUCAAGCUGUGACCCGCGAGCCAGGAGACCUGCCAGCGCACCGGUCGCUCU